ACGCUCUGAAACCGCAAAUCGACGGGCUUCUAAGUCGUGGGUCACAGGUUCGAAUCCUGUAGGGCGUACCA
rnacentral:tRNA from 1 species